UCUCCGUUGGUGAACCAGCGGAGGGAUCAUUACAGAGUUUACAACUCCCAAACCCACUGUGAACCUUACAGCGUCGUUGCCUCGGCGGACCGCCCCCGGCGCGGCCCCUCUCAGGGGACGCCCGGGACCACGGCGCCCGCCGGAGGACCCAAACUCUUGUAUUUGCAGGAUGCAUUGCUCUGAGUGAAAACAAGCAAAUGAAUCAAAACUUUCAACAACGGAUCUCUUGGUUCUG
rnacentral:misc_RNA from 1 species